UACGUAGGGGGCUAGCGUUGUCCGGAAUCAUUGGGCGUAAAGCGCGUGUAGGCGGUUCGGUAAGUCCGCUGUGAAAGUCGGGGGCUCAACCCUCGAAUGCCGGUGGAUACUGUCGGACUAGAGUACGGAAGAGGCGAGUGGAAUUCCCGGUGUAGCGGUGAAAUGCGCAGAUAUCGGGAGGAACACCAAUGGCGAAGGCGGGUCUCUGGGCCGAUACUGACGCUGAGGAGCGAAAGCGUGGGGAGCAAACAGG
rnacentral:rRNA from 1 species